rnacentral:rRNA from 1 species
CCUACGGGGAGCAGCAGUGAGGAAUAUUGGUCAAUGGGCUUACGCCUGAACCAGCCAAGUCGCGUGAGGGAAGACUGCCCUAUGGGUUGUAAACCUCUUUUGUCAGGGAGCAACGCCGGCUACGUGUAGCCGGACUGAGAGUACCUGAAGAAAAAGCAUCGGCUAACUCCGUGCCAGCAGCCGCGGUAAUACGGAGGAUGCGAGCGUUAUCCGGAUUUAUGGGGGUUAAAGGGUGCGUAGGCGGAAUGCCAAGUCAGCGGUAAAAUCGCGGGGCUCAACCUCGCUCCGCCGUUGAAACUGGCGUUCUUGAGUGGGCGAGAAGUAUGCGGAAUGCGUGGUGUAGCGGUGAAAUGCAUAGAUAUCACGCAGAACUCCGAUUGCGAAGGCAGCAUACCGGCGCCCAACUGACGCUGAAGCACGAAAGCGUGGGUAUCGAACAGGAUUAGAUACCCGAGUAGUC